rnacentral:rRNA from 1 species
CUACGGGAGGCACCAGUGGGGAAUAUUGGACAAUGGGGGCAACCCUGAUCCAGCAAUGCCACGUGUGUGAAGAAGGCCUUAGGGUUGUAAAGCACUUUCAGGAAGGAGGAAAGGUAUUAGAUUAAGAGUUAAAUACUGUGACGUUACUUUCAGAAGAAGCACCGGCAAACUCCGUGCCAGCAGCCGCGGUAAUACGGAGGGUGCGAGCGUUAAUCGGACUUACUGGGCGUAAAGGGUCCGUAGGCGGAUAUAUAAGUCAGAUGUAAAAGUCCAGGGCUCAACCUUGGGAUGUCAUUUGAAACUGUGUAUCUAGAGUAUAGGAGAGGAAAGGGGAAUUUCUGGUGUAGCGGUGAAAUGCGUAGAUAUCAGAAGGAACAUCAAUGGCGAAGGCAACUUUCUGGCCGAAUACUGACGCUGAGGGACGAAAGCAUGGUUAGCGAACAGGAUUAGAUACCCGAGUAGUC